CGUUAAAUCGACGCAGAGCCCUACGCCGUAGGGUUCAGCGUACGGUGCGCGUCGCCGCGUAACCCUACGCCGUAGGUUCUGCGUCGGUGUAACGCGGAACCAUAAAUCAGCCUUUUAUAGCCUUUUAUGGUGCGCUGGAGAGGAGAGGAGACAGGGAGCUGGGUGGAGGGGGCGGUGAUUUAGCGGGCCGUUACGUAACCGCCCGCCACCAAACCACAUGCGCCGUUUUUGCACAGUUAUGCGGAAAAUCCGAGAAGGGUAUGGCUGCAGACCCGGAGGCAGCAGAUCUGAGCAGCAGAUCUGAACCGCAGUUCUAGACGUCACAGAGCCCCCUACUGGAUUACUUUAUAACUGCAACUAAAUCAACAGUUCAGAUCGAGACUUCUCGUUUUUUUCCGGCAGCGUGCUCUUUUCUCCUUUUCUCAAGAUGGAUGACGACCGGAGUGUACACAUAACAAUCCAGAAAGGAAGGGCCUUGCCCCAACUUCACAGAUGCAUCAUGCUGCAAUAACUACCACUGUCCAUUCUGCAGCCCUACAGUUUACUACCCCUCCCCGUUGAACAAAUGUCAGAUACACAUGGAUCUUCAUUUUAACAGAGCUGUUAGCCAUGAAGAAUACACCAUUCACAGAUGUGGACUGGGAUGUCGGCCGCAGCUGCAUUAUCACUGUCCAUACUGCAGUUCAACAAUAAAACGGAAAGACGAUUUUAUUAAACAUAUACAUUGGUGCAAGAAGAAACCAGGUUCCAACCCUACAGUCCCACCAACCACCACCACCCCCGGGCACCAACCACCAUCACCUCCCUGGCACCAUCCACCACCACCCCCCUGGCACCAUCCACCACCACCCCCCUGGCACCAACCACCACCAUCACCUCCCAGGCACCAACCACCACCACCCCCCAGACACCAACCACCACCACCCCCCAGGCACCAACCACCACCACCCCCAAGGCACCAACCACCACCAUCACCUCCCCAGGCACCAACCACCACCACCCCCCCAGGCACCAACCACCACCAUUGUAUUGUAUUGAGUGUUUUUUCAGCUUCAGUUUUUUUUCUCUGCAGAUCUCCUUAAUGUGGGAUGUGACUGCACCUGCACUGAAUAUAUAUUAUAUACUGUACAUUUCAUCAAGAUGAGACAAUUGUUUACCCCAAGUUAUAUUGUUAAAUAAAUGUUAUAUUGUUCUGUUUGGGAACUUUGGACUUAAUACUACCAUACUUACCAUUUCAGUAUAUCAAAGUGUUUUUAUUUCUAAUUGUUUACCCCAAGUUAUAUUGUUAAAUAAAUGUUAUAUUGUUCUGUUUGGGAAUUUUGGACUUAAUACUACCAUACUUACCAUUUCAGUAUAUCAAAGUGUUUUUAUUUCUUUAUUUCUUUUUUUUAACAAUUACUACAACAAAAGUGAGGACUUGACACCCAAAUACACUAUGUUGUAGUGGGUUUGAUCAAUGCUGUUCAAGUUUUGGGGGUAAUAUAUCCCACUAAACGCCACAUCUUAGUCCUCUCUCUGUCAGUGGCAAGACAGUUGUCAUCUUCUCUGUCCCAGUCUCUUUUCAUAUUCUCGCAAUUGCAACACCUUUAUGAUUCUGUGCAUAUAACAGUCCUGCAGAGACAUGGUAAAAUACCAAGCCUCAAUCACGACAUUAUCUAUGAUGUUUAUGGUUGCUCAGUGUUUAAAUAUAUAUUUAUUGUCAUUAGGCUAAAAACAAAU